AUGAAGAAUGGAGACGGCAAAUUAACCCUUCAAAACAUUGAAAAGCUUCAAAGGGGUACAAUAAGCAUUCCAAAUAUUACUGGUAAAAGUGCAGAAAUAAAUAGUAGCAAACACUAUCUAGAUAAAACUGGAAGAAAGCAAGAAACAUCUGCAGAAGGGAAACCACACAACUCCUUGAUUGCUUCCCAUGUUAUUGAUUUGCUUUUAGAGAAAGCUGAUUGAAUAAUCGGCAAUGAUUUGAAGUUUGGUUGAUAUGUGAUGUGGCACAUAGCUUCAAUAAAAAUAUAUAUUGUGUUU